rnacentral:rRNA from 1 species
AUUGAACGCUGGCGGCAGGCCUAACACAUGCAAGUCGAACGAGUGGCGGACGGGUGAGUAAUGUCUGGGAAACUGCCUGAUGGAGGGGGAUAACUACUGGAAACGGUAGCUAAUACCGCAUACCAUCGGAUGUGCCCAGAUGGGAUUAGCUAGUAGGUGGGGUAAAGGCUCACCUAGGCGACGAUCCCUAGCUGGUCUGAGAGGAUGACCAGCCACACUGGAACUGAGACACGGUCCAGACUCCUACGGGAGGCAGCAGUGGGGAAUAUUGCACAAUGGGCGCAAGCCUGAUGCAGCCAUGCCGCGUGUGUGAAGAAGGCCUUCGGGUUGUAAAGCACUUUCAGCGAGGAGGCGUUACUCGCAGAAGAAGCACCGGCUAACUCCGUGCCAGCAGCCGCGGUAAUUC